CGGCCCACCUAGUCAACGAUGGAUAGGGGUACUGAGAGGAAGGUCCCCCACAUUGGAACUGAGACACUGUCCAAACUCCUACGGGAGGCAGCAGUGAGGAAUAUUGGUCAAUGGGCGAUGGCCUGAACCAGCCAAGUAGCGUGAAGGAUGACUGCCCUAUGGGUUGUAAACUUCUUUUAUAAAGGAAUAAAGUCGGGUAUGCAUACCCGUUUGCAUGUACUUUAUGAAUAAGGAUCGGCUAACUCCGUGCCAGCAGCCGCGGUAAUACGGAGGAUCCGAGCGUUAUCCGGAUUUAUUGGGUUUAAAGGGAGCGUAGAUGGAUGUUUAAGUCAGUUGUGAAAGUUKGCGGCUCAACCGUAAAAUUGCAGUUGAUACUGGAUGUCUUGAGUKCWKUUUKAKGCAGGCGGAAUUCGUGGUGUAGCGGUGAAAUGCUUAKAUAUC
rnacentral:rRNA from 1 species